CUUAAAUCGCCGAGUAAGAAGAGUAAGUUUUUUGAUUUCUUCAAGAGAGCCGGGGCUGGUGGAAUCCUGGCAGAAUAAAAAAGCCGAAUGGCCUUACGAGAGUUUUUCCGAAAUAAGAGUAGGAAAAAACGUCAUUCCCACGUUACAGGGAUAGAGUAUCGGAUGAAUGGUUCAUUCCUCCCGUACUCGAAAAAGCGGAAGGAGAAUCCUUCAAUAGUGGUGGCACCGCGGCAGAAACCGUCCCCUAU
rnacentral:ncRNA from 1 species